UACGGAGGGGGCUAGCGUUGUUCGGAAUUACUGGGCGUAAAGGGCGCGCAGGCGGCUUUUCAAGUCAGGCGUGAAAGGCCUGGGCUCAACCCGGGAAUUGCGCUUGAGACUGGAAGGCUUGAGUACGGGAGAGGAUGGUGGAAUUCCCAGUGUAGAGGUGAAAUUCGUAGAUAUUGGGAAGAACACCGGUGGCGAAGGCGGCCAUCUGGACCGUUACUGACGCUGAGGCGCGAAAGCGUGGGGAGCAAACAGG
rnacentral:rRNA from 1 species